ensembl:lncRNA LOC120102486 uncharacterized LOC120102486
CACGCUGUCCUUUCCUAGCUGACCCUCCCAAGGAGGCUUUCCUGGGAGGCUGGAAGAGGAGUGGCACAGAGGACUUUUCUUACAAGCACAGCCAGGGGCAUUCCAAGGCUCACAACGGCAGCACUUCAAUUCAGUAUCCAUCUUCACAUGGUGUUCUCCUUGUGUGUCUGGAUCCUCACGUGACCAUCGUACUAAAUUGACUGGAAGGUUAUAAAAGUCAUAUGGAAGUCAUAGCCCAGAAGAGGCACCACCACCUUGAAAAAGAACAAAUGUGGAAGAUGAUUAUUUCCCGGUUUCAAAACUUAUAGUAAUCUUCCUAUGGAGACCUGCAAAGAAUUGAUGAUAUAGGGUAAACUCACACAUUACGGUCAAUUUCAGACAAGGAGAGGAAUCCGUACAUUUGUUUGUUUGUUUGUUGUUUGUUUGUUUGGCUUUGGUGCUGGGGGUUGAACCUCGUAUGUGUUGAAUAAACCUUCUACCACUGAGCUACAUCCUUGUCCCUAAGUUUUCACAUUUUAUUUAGACAUGGGGCCUCACUAACUUAU